UAGACCAGCCCUGAGACUGCUAUAGAAUCAAGCUUCCUUGUGCACAAGAGAGCCAGACAGGGAGCAGGGAAGACUUAGAUUGCUUCACCUAGGCUGUUUCUGCUUUGCAUUGCAGAGGAAGAUGUUUGAACAAUGGCUUCAAUUUAAAAUCUGACCUUUCAAAUGCCAAGCUCUAUGCUUGUUUCUGUGUUGAGUGUAUAUAUAAAAACAUGUGGCUUUCUAAAACUGACCCUGAAAAUUAUAUUCUCUUCAUCGAUGAGAUGUUUCACUUACCAUGCAUCGUUACCUCUCAUAACUACUCAGGACAAAAUUAUGAUCCAAAUUUAUAAUUAUGCUCUGAGUUAUAUCUGGUGGUAAGAAACUGGUGUAAAACCUUCCGUGUAUCUGUUCAAAUGUACAGGUUGGAACCCAAUUUAUCCAGAAGCUGGGAAGGGCCUGAACUGGCUCUAGCAAUUCCGAAACAAAGAAAAAGCAACACAACUUUCCUCUAACAAAACUGGUACAUUCAGGGAGAGGAUGCAGGAAUCAGUCUAAGUUACCACUGAUGAUAAAACGUCAAACCAUUCUGGCAGGCACUUGUUCAGUCUUAAGGAGCUUUAAAUUACUUCACAGCUUGAGAUUCCAGACAAUCAAGCUACCAGGACCCAUGAUGCUGAUAUGAAAGAGGACUGACUUCCAGGAUGUUGAGAAAGAAGACAGAAAUUUCCAUCUUCAUUGUUCAGGUUCUUCCUUUGAAGGGGGGUUCCUUCAGCUACACAACUAGGAGCAAAGCUGCAUCGAGUCAAACAGAGAAAUCAUAAUAACAGAAGCACAUUUGUCUGGCGGAGUGAACAGAAGGAUUGUUGCAGAAUUGAGAUAUGAAGAACCUCACUGCAGAAUAGAAGGAGAACUGUCAUUCUGAUUGUUUGUCAUUAUUGUUUCAUGUCCAGUUAAGUGAACUUAAAGUGACAGUUGUGUCAUAACCACUGCAUCUAUGUAAAUUUCAAAUCAAAUACGAUAGAGGCAUUUCUGCCAGAUGCAAGUCACCAGGCUGCUCUUCCUCUUUAUUUUUGUAAUCCUCCAUUUUCUUAUACUGUGCUUGUAGCCCUUAAAUUGAAAAGACAACUUAUAACAAGAGGAUCUCUGUUAUGUGUGCGUUUCAGUUCUCAGUCCGUACCUUGCUUUCCCUCAGCCUUUUGAAACAAAGGCCAAUGUCAAAUUUCCAUCAGAAAGAGUCACUCCAAACAUUUAGACGUAUUAGCUAAAACUGUGCCUUCCCAUCAAUGAUGUAUCAUAGAGCAAAACCCCACGAAAUUCUAGGUUGUGAACAUCCCCUCAAGGCCUACAGAGAAAACAGCCCGAGCAAAUGUUCCUCCACUGGUUUACUAUAGCCCAAGCCAGGUAUCAGAAGGGUCUUCUCUGUGGAUAGGUGGAAAAUAGGUGGAAAACACUGGUCGUGGACCUUUCUGUAAAUUACAUCAUUCAGAGGUUAUGGGAACUUCACAAGGAUAUCAGAUGUACUCCUCCAUGGCGAGGAGUUACAUGUAAAUAACUCAUUUCCUGGAUACACUCAUACAGAUAGUCUAAUGACACAUGAUUUGCUACUGGACACACAUCUUUGAAAAUAACUUCAAUGCAAUUAUAAAUAUCUUUUGUGUGGACAACAUCAUCAAAAAAUAUGAAACAUGCUGUUUAUUCACUCAUGCCUAAUACUAAUUUCUUCUGCAUAUUUAAGGUCACUUGGCUAAUUAAUUAAAUAGUAUAGGCUUGAGAUAAGUUUUCAUUUUUCAUUGUAACAGAAUGCAUAAAUGCUAGUGAUAUAAAUAUGUACCUCUGCAUUAGGUAAGCACAUUUUUGUCAGUUGAUUGAGGCAAUUUUUAUUUUUUUAAUUCCCUUCCAGUGGUUCUUUUUUGUAUGGUAAAUUUAAAGUAGCUCCAUAGCUACUUUUAUCUACAAUUUGGGCCUUCUGACAACCAAAUUGUGCUGUCCCAUCCUCUAAUCUGGCCAUUCGUUGAAGUGAUUAAUGAAUAGAGGCAACAUAUUAAUGCCAGUUCUAUAAAAGUAUCUGUGAAUAAACAUUUUUUACCUUAAAGGGUAAGUUCUACGUGAGUUUAUAUUUGUAAGUCAAAGGGGUUUUUUUCCUUGUUAAAGAUGGAGACAUAUGAAUCAUAAAAAUAUUUGUAUUUGUGACAAAAUAUCACUCUACAGAUAUGUCAUCACAAAAAUCAACUGUCAGUACAUGUUUAAGAGUAUCAAAUUAAUUUUAACUUAUUUGCUUAAAAAAAUGUCUUGUUUUAUUAGAUUGUGGAAUGUAAAGCCCUCUUUCAAAAUUGAUAUAACAUUUCCGAUUUUAAAAUUUUUUUAUGUAGUCAACUUAUUAUCACAUAUGCAUAUUCCUACAGGCCUCUAGAGAUUCUCAAUUUAAAAAAAAAAGACACAGAAUUACAAACUCUGAUAUCUUUGAUUUAGUUGCAGAACUCAGUUGCAGGACUUCCUGCUACCAACUGAUGGCUUGUGGUCAUAUUCUCCCAACAGGAAUGUGAACAGGACAAAUCAGUGAAUGUAAUUUUAGCCAUAUGAGGUCAUUACAAAUAUAGCCUUAGCUCUUCCAAAA